UGAAAGCUACUACGUGACACAGGAUAUCUGUUCUCUCCCCACCUUUCUCCCACAGUUGAACAUUCGGGGGCCCAGCGUCCUGAGCACAGAUUGGAGACCGAUAUUCCAAAGCUCUGGCACAGGAAUGAGACACCCCUUGUCCAAAGACUGUGUGCAUGGAAAUGGUUUGAGGAGCCUGAAAAAUUCUCUAUAGACUGAAACCUGUCUGCGUCUCUGUGAACCUGAAAAGUUGAGGCCAAUACCCUGGACGGCUGUGAUUCCACCCAGAUGCUCUCUCCCUAUGAGGCAUAGCCACACGAGGACAUCUCUGCCAUCAAGCGACCCCCAGCGGCUUUUCUAGAGAAUCAAAGCGCCUUUCGAGGUGGUGAUUCUGUAUCCCGAGGCAGAAGAAAAUAAGGACAGGCUUGGAGCAUCCUGUUGCUGCCAGUGAGUAGUUGGGGACGUUCCCAAGGGCAUUGGUGCUGAAAAGAUAGAAGGGAUAGUCUUCAAAGGCCCCCCUAGGGCCAUCACUGGGUGAACAGUCUGAGACGAGGGCCGACAGAGAGAGCAGGAGCCCAGGAGUCAGAUGGCCGACACUGAACAGGGGACUCUUUGGGAGCAGGUGUCUGUCCGGCCUCCCAAAGAACUCAUGAAAGCAUCCCAUACCACCUGCACAACAGGGCCAGCAUUUGGAUGGCUGGUCAAUCAGAGAAAGAGGAAGACGGGAUCAGUCUUGAGAAGUGCGUGGAUGCAAACAGCAACUACCACCACAAAGAUUCUGAGCCCUGGAGGCACAAGGAAAUGGUUUGAUUCUCCUGUUCCUCCUUGCCCCUGCGCCCGAGUAGUAAAUACAGAGAAGAGAAAGAGGUGUACGAAGGAGCAAAUUGUAUCACGCGCGCGCACACACACACACACACACACACCAAGCUGUUGGAGUCCCAAGGCUAAUCUGUACUGAAGGAAGAUGAAUGCUUUAGAUCAAAUAAGAGAUUAAAGUUUUUAACGAAAAGGGACCAAAUUUUAAUAACCGAAAUGAGUCUCUUUUAUAAUUAAAAGUGACUGAGAAGGUUGAGAAUCAGUGGGAGCUGUUAUCAAGGCAGCUCACCAUGCAGGAAAUAGAAAGAUAAAGCCCAGGAUAGUAGGGAUUAGAGUACAGAGCCCUGUGAUAGCAGUCUGUAUCCCAACAAAUUGAAAUUCUUCAGUCAUGCCACUUUAAGUAUGAUGCGUCAUUUGAACACUAAGAAAGUGUUAAGUCAAAGACAUUUGCCUCCAAUCACAAAAAAAAAUCU